rnacentral:rRNA from 1 species
UACGUAGGUGGCAAGCGUUGUCCGGAAUUAUUGGGCGUAAAGCGCGCGCAGGCGGUCCUUUAAGUCUGAUGUGAAAGCCCACGGCUCAACCGUGGAGGGUCAUUGGAAACUGGGGGACUUGAGUACAGAAGAGGAAAGCGGAAUUCCACGUGUAGCGGUGAAAUGCGUAGAGAUGUGGAGGAACACCAGUGGCGAAGGCGGCUUUCUGGGCCGUUACUGACGCUGAGGAGCGAAAGCGUGGGGAGCGAACAGG